AGAGAAACCACAUGGACAAAUAAACGAGACUAUUGCAAACGGUAUCGGAAUAGUCUUCGGAUCUACGGACCUCACAGAUGAGUCCAUAGAAAAAUCUACAGAGGUGACGAGAGGGGAGUGGACCGCAAUUAAAAGGUGCUCAGGGGACGGUUAUCUGGUUGCGGCUGCACUGAAAUUCUACCACAUAGAUAAAUAUAGAGGAUCUUUGAGCAACAUCAAGUUCCUGUGUUCAACUGGAGAAUAUCUGGAGGGAGAUGGAGAGAAACGGGGGAGUUUUCAAGCCAUGAGUAAGACCUGCCCUGAUGGGAUCGCUAGUUUCCAGACUAUUCAAUAUAUUGGAAAAAGACCGGGCCACAAUUGGCCUAUCUGGAGUGAUGUCUUUUUUUCUUGCUCUCCCCGGAGACACAUUCAAUGGGGCUGAUAAAUACCAACCAACAGACCAACAUGGCCGCCCCAUGCCCUCACUUGGCACAGACAUAGUAAAGUUUUAUCUCUCUGAAUAAAGAGGAAAAUGCAUUCACA